rnacentral:rRNA from 1 species
CGGUAAUUCCAGCUCCAAUAGCGUAUACUAAAGUUGUUGCAGUUAAAAAGCUCGUAGUUGGAUUUCUGCGGGGACGGAGCGGCCGGACGCAACUUGCGUCUCGAGCUAGCGCUUUCCCCGCAUCCUGCCGCGAACCGUGCUACCAUUAGUUUGGUGGCGCUGGGGAUCGGCUCGAUUACUUUAAGAAAAAUAGAGUGUUCAAAGCAGGCCACACGCCUUGAAUAAGUUAGCAUGGAAUAAUGACUAAGGACUUUGGUUCUUUUCGUUGGUGUUCGGGACUGAAGCAAUGAUUGAUAGGGACAGUUGGGGCGGUCCGUAUUCCAAAGCGAGAGGUGGAAUUCUUAGACCUUCGGAAGACGAACAGCUGCGAAAGCGUUCCGCAAGGAUGUUCCCUUUGAUCAAGAACGAAAGUUGGGGGAUCGAAGACGAUCAGAUACCGUCGUAGUCUCAACUAUAAACUAUACCAGCUAGGGAUCGGCCAACGUUUAAUUAUUCGACUUGGUCGGCACCUUAUGAGAAAUCAAAGCAUCUGGGUUCCGGGGGGAGUAUGGUCGCAAGGCUGAAACUUAAAGGAAUUGACGGAAGGGCACCACCAGGCGUGGAGCCUGUGGCUUAAUUUGACUCAACACGGGAAAACUUACCAGGUCCAGACAUAGGUAGGAUUGACAGAUUGAUAGCUCUUUCUUGAUUCUGUGGGUGGUGGUGCAUGGCCGUUUUUAGUCGGUGAAGUGAUUUGUCUGCUUAAUUGCGUUAACGGACGAGACCCCAGCCUGCUAAAUAGCGCGGCCGAGCUUUGCUCGGUACGAGCUUCUUAGAGGGGCCAUGAUGCGCGAUAGCACAAGGAAGUUUGGGGCAACAACAGGUCUGUGAUGCCCUUAGAUGUUCUGGGCCGCACACGGGCUACACUGGCGCCUGCAACGAGCAUAUCAGCUGGCCCGAGAGGGUCUUGGCUAAUCUUUGGAACCGGCGCCGUGCUUGGGAUUGACCAUUGCAAUUGUUGGUCAUGCAACGAGGAAUGCCUUGUAAACGCGAGUCAUCAGCUCGCAUUGAAUACGUCCCUGCCCUUUGUACACACCGCCCGUCGCUCCUACCGAUGAAUGUUCCGAUGAAAUUUUCGGAGAGCGCCGGAGAACGGGGCUCUGCCCUGCAGAACUGGAGGCUCAAAGUCACUUAAAUCUGAACAUUUCGAGGAAGGAGAAGUCGUAACAAGGUAGCCG